AAGUCGUAACAAGGUUUCCGUAGGUGAACCUGCGGAAGGAUCAUUAAGAGAUAAUAAUUCAUUUAUCCCUUUAACCGUGUUCUGUUUGUGUGAAGCUGGCAGUAGUAGUGUGUCAUCAUUGCCACUGCCAGUAUCUUUUUUCAAUCAUAUCACACUUUUACUACUGAAAUACUAUGAUCUAUAAUGUAAACAACUGUUAACAACGGAUCACUCGGUUCUCACAUCGAUG
rnacentral:misc_RNA from 1 species